rnacentral:tRNA from 1 species
CUCAAGGUAGUAAAAUUAAUACGUUGGAGUUAAGUUCCUAAGAUAAAGCGGAAGUUUUUCUUGAGA